UUCAUUGUUUGAAUAAGGAUUGUAUCUAGGUGACCACAGUGGUCAUCUGGAGUGGAUACAAACUAGAUCGAGAUGACUACAGUGACCUUGGAAUAAGACUGAAACAGACAAACAAAUAUUAGUGUAGAUGCCAUUCAUUCAUAAAGUAACAAGUACAUUUAGGUAUUUUCCUAGUGUUGGUUGACAUAGUGCAUGGAUUGUGCCAUUUUGCAAAUAAAACUUUGAUUCAGUUUGGAGAGAACAUUUUACAGGGGGACGUGAUAAAUAUUCACACCUCACAGAAGGCAGUGGACAAGUUGAGGCUUGAGAUAGCUACUUCCCUCCUCAGAGAAUCAGAUGAUCUAAGCGGCUUGUGCUUUUAUUGUGGGAUGGAGGACAAGGGUAAAACACAAUGGGUUUGCUGUGACGGAUGUGAAAGGUGGUACCACCAUGAUUGUGUACAGAGCCCUCCAGUGGAUGUGAAUUUCUUGUGUCCUGCAUGCCAGUAAAAGUUUCCCUUGCUGCAAUAUUUGUUUUACUACCUGUGCCAAGUAGUUUAUGUUUAACUUGUGUUUGUCGAGGUAUCUUGGAAAUGUUUCUUUUUCACUUUUCUGACAAUGCAAGCC